CUAAGAGUUUGAUUUGAAGUUGAAAUGCAAAAAUUAGAGGUCGGAAGUCAGUAGCAGUUUUAUGCAAAAAUAUGUCGCGAGUUUGUAUAUGCGAGUGGCACCAUCGGAUGGCUCUAAGCGGGCGAUAUGGCUCGGUACUGCUAGCAAUUUCAGAUAAACAGGUUGAUCGAGAUAUCAUGGUCUACAAGCAUGGAGUUCAGAUACUUGGAUUAUGCUAGUUGAGCUGACGUCAUGUUAUCUUAUAUUUUGUAUAAGAUUUAGUUUCUUUAUGUUUUCGGUUGUUAGCUCAAUUUAGUAUUAAUCUCUUGAAUUUUGUAAUCCUAUUUAUGUAUUCGGACGAUAUGUAAUGAAAAUUUAAUGUUUCCCGAUUCAGUUAUGUACACUCUUGUUGAUAUUCUAGAUAAAUUGAUAUGGGGUGUUAUAAUA